AUUGGACAAUGGGGGGAACCCUGAUCCAGCCAUGCCGCGUGUGUGAAGAAGGCCUUUUGGUUGUAAAGCACUUUAAGCGAGGAGGAGGCUACCUUAGUUAAUACCUAGGGAUAGUGGACGUUACUCGCAGAAUGAGCACCGGCUAACUCUGUGCCAGCCGCCGCGGUAAUACAGAGGGUGCGAGCGUUAAUCGGAUUUACUGGGCGUAAAGCGUGCGUAGGCGGCUUUUUAAGUCGGAUGUGAAAUCCCCGAGCUUAACUUGGGAAUUGCAUUCGAUACUGGGAAGCUAGAGUAUGGGAGAGGAUGGUAGAAUUCCAGGUGUAGCGGUGAAAUGCGUAGAGAUCUGGAGGAAUACCGAUGGCGAAGGCAGCCAUCUGGCCUAAUACUGACGCUGAGGCACGAAAGCAUGGGGAGCAAACAG
rnacentral:rRNA from 1 species